CAACUCGCCUGCAUGAAGUCGGAAUUGCUAGUAAUCGUAGGUCAGCAUACUACGGUGAAUACGUUCCCGGGCCUUGUACACACCGCCCGUCAAACCAUGAGAGUUGGCAACACCCGAAGUCGGUAGUCUAACCGCAAGGAGGACGCCGCCGAAGGUGGGGUUGAUGAUUAGGGGUUAAGUCGUAACAAGGUAAC
rnacentral:rRNA from 1 species